rnacentral:lncRNA from 1 species
GAGUAAUUGAACGUCAGUCUUAACACAGGUAAAUGAGUAAACAAACAAAUAUAUUCUAUGGUUCACAACAUUUUGUUUCUAUAGAUGCCUGAACUAAAUUGCACAGGAAAGUUCCCAGAACAUUGCAACCCAAAGGCAAACACGUGAAGUCACUCAGGGAAAGGAUGCAUAAUCAAGAACCUCAUGAUGACAUGCGAUCGACAAUGGACUGCAGAUAUGGAAUUAUACUGCCUGGAGAUGCUGUAGCUGUCUUAGUUUGUCUGAAUUGCACUAUGAUGUUUGCACAAUGAGAAAAAUCCCUUAACAAUGAAUUUCUCAGGAAGUUCACCAAUCAUUCAGGGAUACAUGACUGUGUUGUCCUCGCCGCCCCUUGUAGGUGUGCUUCACUUAAGCAAUGGAUACUCACCAAAAAUUCAGGAAUUCUGGGCUUUGUGGCACUUGUAAUUCCAGCACUCAGAAGGCUGAACCAGGAGGAUGGCUACGAGUUUGACACCAGCUUGGGCUACACAGCUCCAGCAAUGAGAAAGACAAAGGCAAAGAAAGAGAGAGAAGCCAGACCCAGGAAGGUGCCAGCCCAGCCUCAGUCUCAAGUUCCUGUUCCAGGUGCCAACUGUAGCUGACCCAUCCUUGACAGCCUUGUUCCAGGACGCAGACCAGUACUUUGUUCUCCCUGACCCAGGUGCGAAUGAGGAUGAAUGAUAGAGAUGGAGUCCAUUUAACAUGUGGGCAGCCAGGGGCUCUUGCCUCUUAGUAAGCAGAGGAGCCCCCUGAUCAAAGUAACACAAGAGUCAUCUGCUUUCCAAUACCCAUCAGGACAUCUCAGGUAAACAACUUAGCCUCAGACGUCUUGGGUUUUCCCUGCAAUGUGCAGUCACCCCGAGUGCAGCCUUUCUCCUUUGUGCUCAGAGGAGGCCAGUGAGGCCUCAGUGCUCCUCUGGUCUCCCACAAACCAUCUUCCUUUAUUUUAAACCCUGCCUCUUUCAUUCAUUGCUGGUGCCGAGUUUGCUGUCCAGGUAGGAUCCUGGUAUCUGCAUGUACCAGCAGAGCAGGGUCAUGACAGUGUACACCCCCCGAUGGGACAUGAUCAUUAGGGAUAUAAUUUAUUUUUUUGUUUGUUUAUUUAUUUUUUGGUACCAGAGAUCGAACUCAGGUCCUUGCGCUUGCACAGCAGGCAGCGAAAUCACUGAGCUAAAUCCCCGG